UUAAUACUCCCUCCGUCCCAUAUCAAGUGCCAAAAUAUUAAAUGCAUCUAGAUGCUUUUUCGGUAUAGAUACAUCCAUAUUUAUGCAAAUUUGAGUCACUUAAUAUGGGACGGAGGGAGUACUAC
rfam:Brachypodium distachyon strain Bd21 chromosome 1, whole genome shotgun sequence.